rnacentral:rRNA from 1 species
AGUGAACGCUGGCGGUAGGCCUAACACAUGCAAGUCGAACGGCAGCACAGUAAGAGCUUGCUCUUACGGGUGGCGAGUGGCGGACGGGUGAGGAAUACAUCGGAAUCUACUUUUUCGUGGGGGAUAACGCAGGGAAACUUACGCUAAUACCGCAUACGACCUACGGGUGAAAGCAGGGGAUCUUCGGACCUUGCGCGAUUGAAUGAGCCGAUGUCGGAUUAGCUAGUUGGCGGGGUAAAGGCCCACCAAGGCGACGAUCCGUAGCUGGUCUGAGAGGAUGAUCAGCCACACUGGAACUGAGACACGGUCCAGACUCCUACGGGAGGCAGCAGUGGGGAAUAUUGGACAAUGGGCGCAAGCCUGAUCCAGCCAUACUGCGUGGGUGAAGAAGGCCUUCGGGUUGUAAAGCCCUUUUGUUGGGAAAGAAAAGCAGCAGGUUAAUACCCCGCUGUUCUGACGGUACCCAAAGAAUAAGCACCGGCUAACUUCGUG